GACGAACGCUGGCGGCGUGCUUAACACAUGCAAGUCGAACGGAAAGGCCCUGCUUUUGUGGGGUGCUCGAGUGGCGAACGGGUGAGUAACACGUGAGUAACCUGCCCUUGACUUUGGGAUAACUUCAGGAAACUGGGGCUAAUACCGGAUAGGAGCUCCUGCUGCAUGGUGGGGGUUGGAAAGUUUCGGCGGUUGGGGAUGGACUCGCGGCUUAUGAGCUUGUUGGUGGGGUAGUGGCUUACGAAGGCUUUGACGGGUAGCCGGCCUGAGAGGGGGAACGGCCACAUGGGGACUGAGGGACGGCGCAGACGGCUACGGGAGGCAGUGGGGGGGAGUAUGACAGAAUGGGGGGACGCGUGAUGCAGCAACGCCGCGUGCGGGAUGACGGCCUUCGGGUUGUAAACCGCUUUCGCAGGUGACGAGGAGUGAGUGACGGUAAUGGGUAAAGAAGCACCGGCUAACUACGUG
rnacentral:rRNA from 1 species